CUGCAGACCCAGCCCCAGAAUUUUCCAGUGCAUUUCCUGUGUGGCCCUCUUGGGCUGGUCACACCGGCUCUCAGUGCAAUGGUUCUGAUGGACUGUGUGCCAGCUUCAAGUGUUUGGCCAACUCCAGCAACUUCUGGUCCUUUCUCCAGAGAGAGGGUAUGGAAGCUGGAAGCUGUACUGACCAGGCCACUUUGUUAGUUGUUCUAGGAAGUCUUACUCCUACUUGGCAAACAAAAUGUAUAGACAGAGGUUUGGCUGGAGCAAUGGGUGUCACAACUGCUGCAGUCCCAGUUCAUUCGCAGUGCCAUGAAGGGAUGGAGCUGCCAUCACGGAGACACCGAUGCUUAGAACCAGUUCUUGCAGAAAUAUGUAGACGGAGAGAAGCUUUACAGAUGGUGAGGCCUAGACACAGCAGCUUUCCCGGAGCAAGUGGUGAGGCCCUAGAAGACACAUGUCUUUCCCAUAGAAGGUCAGUGCAAGGGUCUUGGGCAUGA
rnacentral:lncRNA from 1 species